UACGGAGGGGGCUAGCGUUGUUCGGAAUUACUGGGCGUAAAGCGCACGUAGGCGGCUUUGUAAGUUAGAGGUGAAAGCCCGGGGCUCAACCCCGGAAUUGCCUUUAAGACUGCAUCGCUUGAACACGGGAGAGGUGAGUGGAAUUCCGAGUGUAGAGGUGAAAUUCGUAGAUAUUCGGAAGAACACCAGUGGCGAAGGCGGCUCACUGGACCGUUGUUGACGCUGAGGCGCGAAAGCGUGGGGAGCAAACGGG
rnacentral:rRNA from 1 species